rnacentral:rRNA from 1 species
UGGGGAAUAUUGCACAAUGGGCGCAAGCCUGAUGCAGCCAUGCCGCGUGUAUGAAGAAGGCCUUCGGGUUGUAAAGUACUUUCAGUCGGGAGGAAGGUGGUAAGGUUAAUAACCUUAUCAAUUGACGUUACCGACAGAAGAAGCACCGGCUAACUCCGUGCCAGCAGCCGCGGUAAUACGGAGGGUUCAAGCGUUAAUCGGAAUUACUGGGCGUAAAGCGCACGCAGGCGGUUGAUUGAGUCAGAUGUGAAAUCCCCGGGCUUAACCCGGGAAUUGCAUCUGAUACUGGUCAGCUAGAGUCUUGAAGAGGGGGGUAGAAUUCCAUGUGUGGCGGUGAAAUGCGUAGAGAUGUGGAGGAAUACCGGUGGCGAAGGCGGCCCCCUGGACGAAGACUGACGCUCAGGUGCGAAAGCGUGGGGAGCAAACAGG